UACGUAGGGGGCUAGCGUUGUCCGGAAUCAUUGGGCGUAAAGCGCGUGUAGGCGGUUCGGUAAGUCCGCUGUGAAAGUCGGGGGCUCAACCCUCGAAUGCCGGUGGAUACUGUCGGACUAGAGUACGGAAGAGGCGAGUGGAAUUCCUGGUGUAGCGGUGAAAUGCGCAGAUAUCAGGAGGAACACCAAUUGCGAAGGCAGCUCGCUGGGACGUUACUGACGCUGAGGAACGAAAGCGUGGGGAGCGAACAGG
rnacentral:rRNA from 1 species